CCUACGGGAGGCAGCAGUGGGGAAUAUUGGACAAUGGGCGCAAGCCUGAUCCAGCAAUGCCGCGUGUGUGAAGAAGGCCUGCGGGUUGUAAAGCACUUUCGGUUGGGAGGAAAAAAGGCAGGUUAAUACCCUGUCUCUUGACGUUACCUUCAGAAGAAGCACCGGCUAACUCCGUGCCAGCAGCCGCGGUAAUACGGAGGGUGCGAGCGUUAAUCGGAAUUACUGGGCGUAAAGCGCGCGUAGGUGGCUUGUUGAGUCAGUUGUGAAAGCCCCGGGCUUAACCUGGGAAUUGCAGUUGAUACUGGCAGGCUAGAGUGUGGUAGAGGGAAGCGGAAUUCCAGGUGUAGCGGUGAAAUGCGUAGAUAUCUGGAGGAACAUCAGUGGCGAAGGCGGCUUCCUGGACUAACACUGACACUGAGGUGCGAAAGCGUGGGUAGCAAACAGGAUUAGAUACCCUGGUAGUCCACGCCCUAAACGAUGAGAACUAGCCGUUGGAGGAACUAUAAUCCUUUAGUGGCGCAGCUAACGCGUUAAGUUCUCCGCCUGGGGAGUACGGCCGCAAGGUUAAAACUCAAAUGAAUUGACGGGGA
rnacentral:rRNA from 1 species